UGGGGAAUAUUGCACAAUGGGGGAAACCCUGAUGCAGCGACGCCGCGUGAGCGAAGAAGGCUUUCGAGUCGUAAAGCUCUGUCCUAUGAGAAGAUAAUGACGGUAUCAUAGGAGGAAGCCCUGGCUAAAUACGUGCCAGCAGCCGCGGUAAUACGUAUGGGGCGAGCGUUGUCCGGAAUUAUUGGGCGUAAAGGGUACGUAGGCGGUUUUUUAAGUCAGGUGUCAAAGCGUGGAGCUUAACUCCAUUAAGCACUUGAAACUGAAAGACUUGAGUGAAGGAGAGGAAAGUGGAAUUCCUAGUGUAGCGGUGAAAUGCGUAGAUAUUAGGAGGAAUACCGGUGGCGAAGGCGGCUUUUUGGCCUGCAACUGACACUGAGGCGCGAAAGCGUGGGGAGCAAACAGG
rnacentral:rRNA from 1 species